UAGUCUCCACUCUCCACCACACUCCUCCACAGUCACCAUCGCCUUUCACACUCACAACUACUACACCGUCAUCACCACUUACCACAAUGAGCACCGCGAUCGUUAACACCACCACCAUCAUCAUCACCACCACCACCACCGCAAUCACCACCACCUAACUGAUUCUAAGGGUAGCCUCUCUCUACGCCAUUAAAUUCAAUACCACAACCACUACCUCAGCCCGCUCCCCACCUACACACACACACACACACACACACGAACUACGAGAAUAAUAGGUAAAGCGUCAUAAGUAACAGCCAUAUCAUUUAUAGCAACUUAAGUGGCGAACCACGAUAGGCUUACUUUAUCAAUACAGUAUUAAUUCACAAUACAAUAAUCGAUUAACAUGGAUGAGAACUGAGCUGGCUUACGUUAGGUUGGUCUGCAGGUGACAUUAGGUAGAGUUCGGGAUAUGUUAGGCUAAUUAAGAAACAGUACGUAGGUAAGUUAAGCAUAAUGUGUGAUGUAGGGGCUAGGUCAAAGGUUCAGGUAGAUUAGAUUACCGGUAUAGAUAAUACUAAACUUGGGCUUCAUGAGGUCAGAUAGGUUUCAGUAGGCUUCAGCAGGUUUGCAAAGUGAGCACCAAAAUCAUAUCUAUUACGCCAUGACCUCUGCUAACACCAUCACCACCACCAUCACCACCACCGCCGCCUCUCCGCCGCCACCGCCACCACGGAGAUUCCAACGCCGAGGUCUCCACAGCACACCAGCCCUUACCUUCUGCUCCUGUGUGGGUCUUCCGUAGGGGGGAUGUCAAUGUGUAAAUUCCUGAGCCAGAGUCCUCCCCGACAAGCACGCUUCCACACACCCUUCACACACACCGCUCGCAACUCACUGCCUGGGAGAACAUGACAGCACCUCUUCCUCAUCCCCGCCCCCUCCCCCUGAGACCUGUGUGUGGUUGCCAACUAUUGUCGUGCAAGGUAUUGACUAUGCCAAAUGCUCAUGCACACCAAGUCCAUAAAAACAUGGAUCAAGCCAAUCGGCUGUAAGACUUCUGGAGACCCACCAUUGCUCUGCGCUACAUUACCAAGUAUCAAGAGAGGAAUAAAGUGAACAUAAGAAGAGCAGAAGAAAUUCAAGCAGAAACAGAGGGGCAGACCGGUCACCACCUCACCUGAGUCAUUGGAGGGAAGCUGGAUGAGAGGUGUGUGGGAGAAGUGACACACCAACAG